AUGAAGAGUUUGAUCCUGGCUCAGGAUGAACGCUGGCGGUAUGCUUAACACAUGCAAGUCGAACGGAAGUCUUCGGACUUUAGUGGCGGACGGGGGAGUAACGCGUAAGAACCUGCCUAAAGAUGGGGGAUAACAACUGGAAACGGUUGCUAAUACCCCAUAUACUGAAAAGAAAAAGCUGAAAAGCGUCUUUAGAGGGGCUUGCGUCUGAUUAGCUUGUUGGUGAGGUAAAAGCUUACCAAGGCAACGAUCAGUAGCUGGUUUGAGAGGAUGAUCAGCCACACUGGGACUGAGACACGGCCCAGACUCCUACGGGAGGCAGCAGUGAGGAAUUUUCCGCAAUGGGCGAAAGCCUGACGGAGCAAUGCCGCGUGGAGGAAGAAAGCCUGUGGGUUGUAAACUCCUUUUCUUAGACAAGAAGAUAUGACGGUAUCUAAGGAAUAAGCAUCGGCUAACUCCGUGCCAGCAGCCGCGGUAAGACGGAGGAUGCAAGCGUUAUCCGGAAUUAUUGGGCGUAAAGCGUCUGUAGGUGGUUUGCUCAGUCCGCUGUGAAAGAUCAGGGCUUCACCCUGAACACGCGGUGGAAACCGGUAGACUUGAGUACGGUAGGGGCAGAGGGAAUUCCCGGUGGAGCGGUGAAAUGCGUAGAGAUCGGGAAGAACACCAAUAGCGAAAGCACUCUGCUGGGCCGUAACUGACACUGAGAGACGAAAGCUAGGGUAGCGAAUGGGAUUAGAUACCCCAGUAGUCCUAGCCGUAAACGAUGGAUACUAAGUGCUGUGCAUUUGACCAGUACUGUAGCUAACGCGUUAAGUAUCCCGCCUGGGGAGUAUGCUCGCAAGGGUGAAACUCAAAGGAAUUGACGGGGGCCCGCACAAGCGGUGGAGCAUGUGGUUUAAUUCGACGCAACGCGCAUCACCUUACCCGCCCUCGCUCGGCCUUGGGGCGCGCGGAGUCCGCGCGCCCCGCCACCAGGUGCUGCACGGCUGUCGUCAGCUCGUGUCGUGAGAUGUCGGGUUCAGUCCUGCAACGAGCGCAACCCCCGCGGACCUCGGUCCGUACCGCCGGGGAGACCCCGGAGGAAGGUGGGGAUGACGUCAAGUCCUCGUGGCCCUCAUGGGCGGGGCGACACACGUGCUACAGGGGCGAGGUCAAUGGGAGGCGCCCGCGUCAGCGCGCGCGCUCCUCCAACCCUCGCCGUGGUUCGGAAUGCCCGCUGCAACUCGCGGGCAGGAAGGCGGAAUCGCGAGUAAUCGCGCAGCAGCGCGGCGCGGUGAAUUGGUACCCGGGCCUUGUACACACCGCCCGUCACACCAUG
rnacentral:rRNA from 1 species